rnacentral:rRNA from 1 species
GAUGAACGCUGACAGAAUGCUCAACACAUGCAAGUCGAUUCGAUUUACCUUCGGGUAUUGAGGAUGGCGGACGGGUGAGUAACGCGUAAGGAACUUGCCUCUUGGUCUGGGACAACUGUUGGAAACGACAGCUAAUACCGGAUAUUAUGAGAUUCUCGCAUGGGAAACUUAUGAAAGCUAUAUGCGCCAAGAGAGAGCCUUGCGUUCCAUUAGCUAGUUGGUGGGGUAACGGCCCACCAAGGCGACGAUGGAUAGCCGGCCUGAGAGGGUGAACGGCCACAAGGGGACUGAGACACGGCCCUUACUCCUACGGGAGGCAGCAGUGGGGAAUAUUGGACAAUGGGCCACAAGCCUGAUCCAGCAAUUCUGUGUGCACGAUGAAGGUCUUCGGAUUGUAAAGUGCUUUCAGUUGGGAAGAAGAAAGUGACGGUACCAACAGAAGAAGCGACGGCUAAAUACGUGCCAGCAGCCGCGGUAAUACGUAUGUCGCAAGCGUUAUCCGGAUUUAUUGGGCGUAAAGCGCGUCUAGGCGGAAAAAUAAGUCUGAUGUUAAAAUGCGGGGCUCAACUCCGUAUUGCGUUGGAAACUGUUUUUCUAGAGUACUGGAGAGGUGGGCGGAACUACAAGUGUAGAGGUGAAAUUCGUAGAUAUUUGUAGGAAUGCCGAUGGAGAAGUCAGCUCACUGGACAGAUACUGACGCUAAAGCGCGAAAGC